rnacentral:rRNA from 1 species
CCUACGGGUGGCAGCAGUGAGGAAUAUUGGUCAAUGGGCGCGAGCCUGAACCAGCCAAGUAGCGUGAAGGAUGACGGCCCUACGGGUUGUAAACUGCUUUUAUAAAGGAAUAAAGUGAGGCACGUGUGCCGUUUUGUAUGUACUGUAUGAAUAAGGAUCGGCUAACUCCGUGCCAGCAGCCGCGGUAAUACGGAGGAUCCGGGCGUUAUCCGGAUUUAUUGGGUUUAAAGGGAGCGUAGAGGUGUUGUUAAGUCAGUUGUGAAAGUUGGCGUCUCAACCGUCACAUUGCAAUUGAUACUGGCAUUCUUUAUUCCAGUUGAGGUAGGCGGAAUUCGUCUUGUAGCGGUGA